rnacentral:rRNA from 1 species
AGUAGUCAUAUGCUUGUCUCAAAGAUUAAAGCCAUCAUGUUGAUAAUAUGAAACUAAUUCAGACUGUGAAAACUGCGAAUGGCUCAUUAAAUCAGUUAUAGUUUGUUUUGAUGCCGUAUCUGCUACUCGGAUAACCGUUAGUAUUCUAGAGCUAAUACGCUGCAAACAAAACCCCGACUCUGGAAGGCGAUGCAUUUAUUAGAUAAAAGCGUACGGCGGGCUCUGCCGUUGCCUGCAUGAUUCAUGAUAACUCGAACGGAAUUCGCCGGCCAUCGUCCGGCCGACGCAUCAUUCAAAUUUCUGCCCUAUCACUUUCGCAUGGUAGGAUAGAGGCCUACCCAUGGUGGUGACGUGGUGACGGAGAAUUAGGGUUCGAUCCCGGAGAGGGAGCCUGCAGAAACGGCUACCCACAUCCAAGGAAGGCAGCAGCCGCGCGCAAAUUACCCAAUCCUGACACGCGGGAGGUAGUGACAAUAAAUAACAAUACCGGGCUCUUCGAGAUCUGGUAAUUGGAAUGAGUACAAUCUAAAUCCCUUAACGCAGGAAUCCAUUGGAGGGCCAAUCUGGUGCCAGCAGCCGCGGGGUAAUUCCAGCUCCAAUAGCGUAUAUUUAAGUUGUUGCAGUUAAAAAGCUCGUAGUUGGGCCUUGGGUUGGGUUUCGACCGGUUCCGCCUCGCGGUGUGCACCUGUCGGAUCGUUCCCUUUCUGCCGGCGAUGCGCUCCUGCGCGCCUUAACUGGCCGCGUCGUGCCUCCGGCGCUGUACUUUGAAGAAAUUAGAGUGCUCAAAGCAAAAGCCUCGCUCUGGAAUACAUAGCAUGCGGAUAACAUCAUUAGGAUUUCGGUCCUAUUGUGUUGGCCUUCGGUCGGAGUAAUGAUUAACAGGACAGUCGGGGCAUUCGUAUUUCAUAGUCAGAGCGUGGAAAAUUCUUUGGAUUUAUGAAGACGAACAACUGCGAAAGCAUUUGCCAAGGAUUGUUUUCAUUAAUCAAGAACGAAAAGUUGGGGGCUCGAGACGAUCAGGAUACCGUCCUAGUCUCAACCAAUAAACGAUGGCGACCAGGAUCGAGCGGAUGUUGCCUUUUAGGACUCCGCCGGCACCUUAUGAGAAAUCAAAGUUCUUUGGGUUCCGCGCGAUCGGGAGUAUGCGUCGCCCAAGGCGCUUGAAACUUAAAGGAAUUGACGGAAGGGCACCACCAGGAGUGGAGCCUUGCGGCUUAAUUUGACUCAACACGCUGGAAACUUUACCAGGUCCAGACAUAGUAAAGGCGAUUACAGACUGAGAGCUCUUUCUGAUUCAUGGGUGUGGUGCAUGGCCGUUCUUAGUUUGGUUGGAGCGAUUUGUCUGGUUAAUCCGGUUAACGAACGAGACCUCCAGCCUUGCUAACUAGCUAUGCGGAGGUGACCCCUCCGCGGCCAGCUUCUUUAGAGGGAAUAUGGCCUUUUAGGCCAAGGAAGUUUGAGCAAUACAGCGGUCUGUGAUGCCCUUAGAUGUUCUGGGGGCCGCACGCGCGCUUACACUGAUGUAUUCAACAGAGUCUAUUUAGCCCUUGCGCCGACAGGCCCGGGGUGUAAUUCUUUUGAAAUUUCAUUCGUGAUGGGGAUUAUCAUCAUUGCCAAAUUGUUGGUCUUCAACGAGAAAUUCCUAGUAAGCGCGAGCUCAUCAGUCUUCGCUGUUGAUACGUCCCUGCCCUUUGUACAACCGCCCGUCGCUCCCUACCGAUUGAAUGGUCCGGUGAAAGUGUUUCGGAUCGCAGGGGCGACGUGGCGGUUCGCUCGCCGCGGCGACGUCGCGAUGAAUGUUCCACUGAACCUUAUCAUUUAAAGAGAAGGAGACAGUC